CUGUCAGCUACUUUCAGCUAGUAGUUUAUAUGAUAUCCAAAAGAUGGCGAAUGCCUGUUUCCCUUAAAAAUUAAUAUCCCACAGUUCCCCUAUGCAGUUUGAGAACUGUGAGAGUAACCUUCAAGAAUUUAAAAGCUCCUUAGAAAACUAUAUAAAAUUCUAUUACAUGCAGUGCUAAAUAGUAUGACAGCUUGUAAAUAUGGUAAGAUUUUAGAAGAGGCUGGACUAAUGCAGGAACUCUUCAAGGAAAAAGUAAGACUUAAGAUCAACCUGAAAAAGUUGUUUAUUUAGGAAGCGGAAAGAAUGAUAAUCCUACAAGCAUAUUUUUUCAGUAAGUUCUUUGAAACAAUUAUUUUAUAGUCUAUCAUCCCAUGGACUUGACUUAUGUUUUACCUCUACUACCUUAUUCUCUUCAUAAGGUAAGUAGUCACAUCCGUAUUGCUAGACAAAUGGUGGUUUCUCAGUUCUCAUUUACUUGCCCCAUCAGCAACACUGGCUCCCUUGAAAGCUUACUUCUUUUUGAAACACUUUUUUCUCUUCUCUACUGACUUCCUGCUCACCACAUUUGACUGUUUUUUCCCCCUACUUUCUACUCCUAAUUGUUUUCUGGUUCUUCUUCGUCUCCCCAGUCUUUAAAUAUGGCACUGCCUAGGACGUUUUCUGUAUUUGCCUCCUAGUGAUUUCAUCUAGAAUCAUGCUCUUAAAAACAUUCUGUAUCCUGAUGCAUCUCUAAUUUAAGAUCUCAAUUUAACAAUUUUAUUUUCCAGUCUGGGUUCUUCUGCGUGACCCAGUCCUCUUUAAUUUUCCUCUGUGGAAACUCCAUUCUUGAAAUUAUUUAGGUCUAAAUCCUGGUGUUGCCUUUAACUCAUCUCUUUCAUUCAAAUUCUAUAUCCAGUCUGUCAGCAGACAUUUUUCAGUUCCACCAUUAAAAUAAAUUUAUUCCUUCUUUUGCCACCAUCCUUGUUUCAACCAUUACCUUCUAUCUCCUGGAUUAUUUCAUUUAUUUGUUAACUGCUUUUAUUGUGUCUGCAUUUGCCUCUUGUAGAUUUAUUCUCAACCCAGCAGCUAGAAUGAAAUUAUUAAAAUUAUUAAGACAGAUCAAACCAUCCAGUAAUUAAACCAAACCAAUAAUAAUAAAAUUACAAUG
rnacentral:lncRNA from 1 species